ensembl:lncRNA
GACAAUCCAAUCGUUGAUGUCUUUGUUUUGCACAAAGACAUUGUCCAGGGGGGAAAGUAGAUGUAAUUUCGUACUGGAACUGAACACCCAAGUGCGCGCGCACACUUUUUUUUAUACUACAAAAAUGACAGGGUAGCCAACUCUGCUGACACUGACGACAGAUCAAUAAAAACUAUGCUGUCUGAUCCAUAUAAUCAGCCUGCGAAAAGAGGAAACACAAAUACAAUAUGACUACCAUCUAACCUGGAGGAGAAACGAUUGUCCAAAAACACAGAAAAGGGGCACUGACCCAGUGAAUAUGCACCGGGGAUAUGGCUGAUGUUCUCCCGCUGGUGCUAAUAAGAUAUGCCACUGUUCCCUCAAGACUAUUCAAGCGAUCGACUCACUGAUGCAUGAAGAUGAUGAGCUAUCAGCAAAGGCCAUCUGGAGUCCCAAGCAUCCCCUCAAACGUCAUGCGGGGGUGCCAACUUCUUGCCAGGGACCAGGCACAUAUUUGAGUUUUGAUGACAAUGACCCAAAACACACUGCCACCCGGGUUUGCAUUGCAAAUGAGGGCAUAAACUGGGUCAAGACUCCGCAGACUAUCAAGACGUUUUGGCUUGAGAAAUUGACAAUACAACAACGCAACAAAUACAUUGAUCAUCUCAGCAAGGUUUUACCCGUGGUCGUGGAGCUGGG